AGAGAUAGAAACGAUUUUGAUUCGGGUCACAAACGGAGAUGAACCUAUCUCAUUAUCACUAGAGGGAAAGUCCUCAGACCAAGUGUUGAAAUUACAAAUUUAAGGAAUCGCAACGAACCUUUCUGCUAUCACUCUUUGAUGCAAUGACACCAUUUGGUGUAACUGGGAGGUGUUGGUUGGUAUCUUCGUCAAAGCACAGACUGAUGCAAGUAGCCUUUUGUGUUAACAGAAUGGGGGUUACCCUUUCUUUUAA
rnacentral:SRP_RNA from 1 species